UUGACAUGUCCGGAAUCCUGCAGAGAUGCGGGAGUGCCCGAAAGGGAAUCGGAACACAGGUGCUGCAUGGCUGUCGUCAGCUCGUGUCGUGAGAUGUUGGGUUAAGUCCCGCAACGAGCGCAACCCACGUUUAGUUGCUACGAAAGGGCACUCUAAUGAGACUGCCGGUGACAAACCGGAGGAAGUGGGGAUGACGUCAAGUCCUCAUGGCCCUUAUAGGUGGGGCUACACACGUCAUACAAUGGCUGGUACAAAGGGUUGCCAACCCGCGAGGGGGAGCCAAUCCCAUAAAGCCAGUCGUAGUCCGGAUCGCAGUCUGCAACUCGACUGCGUGAAGUCGGAAUCGCUAGUAAUCGUGGAUCAGCAUGUCACGGUGAAUACGUUCCCGGGUCUU
rnacentral:rRNA from 1 species